CAGAUGGUGUAUAAGAGUAUUUUGUCAAAACUGUAAAGGAGGAUGUGGCUAUAGGGGCUGAUUGUUCUCAUGAGUGUUACUACUCUUCUUUCCCACAGUUAAAAGAAUAUUGGCAGAGGAAGAGCCCUGGCAUUCCAGAAGGAGCUAACAGGAAAAAGAAAAUCAAUGGCAGUAGCCCUGACACAGCCACUUCUGGUGGUUACCACUCACCUGGGGAUUCAGCAACAGGUAUCUACGGGGAGGGCCGUGCAUCAUCUGCUACCCUGGAGGAUCUGGAGGUAAGAGGCCCUGGGCCGAGGUGCAGUGACCCUGCAGGCUAGCCCUCCAACCUCCUCCCACAGCAGGGGCUUGUUGCCCCUCUGCCAGCUGAGGCAGCCCACACACCCCCACCAGCCCUAAUGAUUAUUCUCUCUACCCCUCCCCACAAUCUUCCUCCAACUCCUCCUCUCUGCAUGCACCUCAGAGCCAGUACCAAGAACUAGCAGUGGCCCUGGAUUCAAGCUCCACAAUAAUCAGUCAACUCACUGAAAACAUCAAUUCACUGGUAAGAGUCCAGUGGGGUCCCCUGAUUCCAGCCUGUGAAUCCUGGACUCCAGUUUCCUCUUGGGGCCCUGAAGAAAGGGGCUAGGAGCCCCUGAUGCCAAGGGCAAAUGGGGAGCUGGGCACCCAGGUCUCACCUGGAGGGACCCCAGAGCACAGAACAUGCAGCAUGGCUCUUCUGCACUGCCCUCUUUGCUGACUCUCUCUUCUCCAGACACCCCUGCUCUAGUCCUUGCCACACAUGCCCUGGGGUUGUCACCUCUCAGGAAAGCACUAGCCUGACUGGUUUUCAGGGGCCCGUAUUUCUGCCCUGCCUCAGUCCCUAAUUUGCUUUUUGAGUCUGGACAAGCCAUCUCUCCUCCUUAGGCUCGUGUUUCUGGAGGAGGUAGAGAGUAUCAAAGGUCACUGUUAGCUCAGAGAUUUAAAGGCUCCUAGAAUGGAAACCUCAGGACCAAGGGCUCCUGUCUGUCCUUUGCUGUCUUAUAUCUCUGCUAUGAAGAACUGUACCUGGCCUGUACGUGCUCAGUAAAUGUUUGUUGAGUGAAUGCACCUUUCUCAAUCGUAAGCUGGCAGAAGGGGGGUGGGCCUUUCUCAAACUCUGUCUCUAGAGGUUCAGCAGCCCCUCUCUGCAGGGCCCUUUCCCCUCUGCUUUAGGCAGGUUCACACAUUGAAAGAGGAGAAGCAUGAGAUACAUCAGGUACAGAAGCUUGGGAGGAACUUGUUCAAACUCAAAAACCAGACGGGUA
rnacentral:lncRNA from 10 species